CGCACAUUGCGCUCUUUGGUAUUCCGGAGAGCAUGCCCGUUUCAGAAUCAGCAAAUCAUCCUCAGACGGUCUUGGGUUUCCCGGCAACGGGGCUCCCGCGAUCGCUGGAUUUUGGACGCGUCGUUUCUUCCCUCCGGAGAAACCCGUCUCAAAUGCAUUGGGAACGCUGGGGUAGCCAUUCAAUGGACCUUGCAAAGCAGCAACAGUGGCCUCUUUUGGUUUCUUUUUACUCUUUGCAUCGAUCCAGGCAAUCUCGUAUUCAAUUACAAGGCAUUUCCGACCCGCCCUUUUGGGGGCAAUCUAAGAACUUGGUCUGAAAUCGGGCAAGAAAACCCGCUGAACUUAA
rnacentral:misc_RNA from 1 species